rnacentral:misc_RNA from 1 species
GUGAAUCAUCGAAUUUUUGAACGCAAAUUGCACUCUCCUCGGAGAGUAUGCCUGUUUGAGGUUCAGCCUAUAAAAAAUCGACAUCGUUGCUGUUUCGCGGUGGCGUUCGUCGGAAAUUGGGUCAUCUUACAUCUUUUGGUGUUAAGCGACUUCAAAUUUCCUUUUUGGUUCCUUGAACGAUUCUGAGCU